AUUGAACGCUGGCGGCAGGCUUAACACAUGCAAGUCGAGCGGAGAUGAGGUGCUUGCACCUUAUCUUAGCGGCGGACGGGUGAGUAAUGCUUAGGAAUCUGCCAUUUAGUGGGGGACAACAUUCCGAAAGGAAUGCUAAUACCGCAUACGUCCUACGGGAGAAAGCAGGGGAUCUUCGGACCUUGCGCUAAAUGAUGAGCCUAAGUCGGAUUAGCUAGUGGGUGGGGUAAAGGCCUACCAAGGCGACGAACUGUAGCGGGUCUGAGAGGAUGAGCCGCCACACUGGGACUGAGACACGGCCCAGACUCCUACGGGAGGCAGCAGUGGGGAAUAUUGGACAAUGGGCGGAAGCCUGAUCCAGCCAUGCCGCGUGUGUGAAGAAGGCCUUUUGGUUGUAAAGCACUUUAAGCGAGGAGGAGGCUACUAGUACUAAUACUACUGGAUAGUGGACGUUACUCGCAGAAUAAGCACCGGCUAACUCUGUGCCAGCCGCCGCGGUAAGAC
rnacentral:rRNA from 1 species